UACGUAGGGAGCAAGCGUUGUUCGGAUUUACUGGGCGUAAAGGGCGCGUAGGCGGCGCGGUAAGUCACUUGUGAAAUCUCUGAGCUUAACUCAGAACGGCCAAGUGAUACUGCAGUGCUAGAGUGCAGAAGGGGCAAUCGGAAUUCUUGGUGUAGCGGUGAAAUGCGUAGAUAUCAAGAGGAACACCGGUGGCGAAGGCGGGUCUCUGGGCCGAUAUCGACGCUGAGGAGCGAAAGCGUGGGGAGCGAACAGG
rnacentral:rRNA from 1 species